rnacentral:lncRNA from 1 species
GGGCAGCCCAUCGCCCACGCUGACCGUGAGGGUCCGACCGCCAACCUUGAGCACUGCCAAGUCGCCGAAGCCGCGGGAGAAGGUGACGCUGCGGGUGCCGCCACCGCCCCAGCCCUCCUUCUUCACCCGAAACUGUAGUCUAUGGGGAGAGAAGAAAGCUUGGGGGCGCUGGCUGAGGUCCCCCGCCCCACCCAACUCUCGCUGGUUGGGGCAGGGGCGGGGCCGCGGCCGGGGCCGAAGCGCAGUUCGGCCGGGUCGGUGGGGCGGGAGAGGGUGCGCCGCGCCGAGACCACCCCGAGAUGGUGCUGGGGUUGGCGGGGCCGUACGUGUCGCUGAAGGUGAGGGGCAGGGGCCUCCGCGUCGCCUCCUCGAAGCGCUUGCACAGAAGGCUGACAAACUCGGUCUUGAAGACGCUCUCCAGGAAGCUGUCGGCGGCAUCCUCUUGGAGGAUGAAGAAGUCGUCCUGUCGCGUGCUGGGGAGGGGCGGGUGAGAGCGUCAGGUGGGACACAGGUGAGGGCGACAGGUGAGAGAGACAGAUGAAGGUGGCUGAAGGUGGAUUUAGGGAAGGGUCAGCUAAGGGCCAAGUCAGCGGUGACCAGGUAGGAGAAAAAGGGGGAUGUGGCAAGGAGUGGAAGAGGUGGUUACAGAAGAGGGCCAGGUGAGGUCUAGUAAGAGGGUAAGGUGCAGGACGGAAGGAUUUGGCAUCUAAGGAUCAUGAGCAUAGGGGGCAGGUGAACAUGACAGGUGGGGCCAACAGAGGGCUACAGGCAUGGCACCAGGUAAGAUUGUCAGGGUAACAGACGGGGUCACUAGAAUGAGGGCAGCCAGGGGACAGGUGAGAGUGACUGUGCGGCAGGUAAGGACCUGGCUUCACCUGAGGGAGACUCCCCGCAGAGCCUGGAUGUCCACUUUCUUCUUCAAGACUUCACACACCUGGCCCUUCUCAGGUCCCUUCUUCACUUUCUCUCGCCCAAUCACAUACACACACUUGGGCGUCAGGAUCAAGUCCCGCUUGAUGGGCUGUGGGGAUGCAGGAUUAGAGGCUGAUGCCUGUAGCCUGGCCAGCCUGGCCACAGAGGAUCCACCCCAGGCAGAGGGGUGGUGCUGGCAGGUCAGGUGAGGAAGGUGGGAGCCCUCCAGGUGAAGGUGUAUGAGUCGUCUGUUUUGUAGACAGGGUCUCACUCUGUCGCUCAGGCUGGAGUGCAGUGGUGCCAUCAUAGCUCACUGCAACCUCCCCCUCCUGGGCUUGAGUGAUCCACCUGCCUCAGCCUCCUGAGUAGCUGGGACCACAGGUGCGCACCACCAUGCCCAGCUAAUUUUGGUAUUUUUUGUAGAUUCAGGGUUUUGCCCUGUUGCCCAGGCUGGUCUUGAGCUCCUGAUCUCAAGCAAACUGUCCUCCUUGGCCUCCCAAAGGGUUGGGAUUACAGGUGUGCGCCACCACGCCUGGCCAUGAGUUGUUAUAUAAGAAACAGAAGGAGGGCUGGGUGCCAUGGCUCACGCCUGUAAUCCCAGCAUUUUGGGAGGCCGAGGCGGGCAGAUCAUGAGGUCAGGAGUUUGAAACCAGGCUGACCAACAUGGUGAAACCCCGUCUCUACUAAAAAUACAAAAAUUAGCUGGGCGAGGUGGUGGGCACCUGUAGUCCCAGCUACUCAGGAGGCUGAGACAGGAGAAUCGCUUGAACCCAGGAGGAUGAGGUUGCAGUGAGCCGAGAUCCUGCCACUGCACUCCAGCCUGGGUGACAGAGCAAGACCCUGUCUCAAAAACAAACAAACAAAAAAUAACAGAUCAGGCGCGGUGGCACACGCCUGUAAUCCCAGCACUUUGGGAGGCUGAGGUGGGUGGAUCACAAGGUCAGAAGAUUGAGACCAUCCUGGCUAAUACCAUGAAACCCCAUCUCUACUAAAAAUACAAAAAACUAGCUGGGCGUGGUGGCACAUGCCUGUAGUCCCAGCUACUCGGGAGGCUGAGGCAGGAGAAUUGCUUGAGCCUGGGAGGCAGAGGUUGCAGUGAGCCGAGGUUGUGCCACUGCACUCCAGCCUGGGCGACAUAACAAGAUUCUGACUCAACACACACACACAAAAGAGCAAAACUCUGUCUCAAAAAAACAAAAAAGAAAAACAAAAAAGAAACGAGGUCAGAUGGGAAUGUGUUGGUUGGUUGGUUGGCUAGAAAAGGGUGUUUGGGUCAGUGAACAGGUGCUGGGUAGGUAAGGCACCUGCUGGACAUGGGUUCCCGGGCCAGAUGAGAACACUUAGACCAGGUGAAAGUACUUGGGUCAUGUGACUGUAGCCAGCUCAGGUAAAGGUAUUAUGGUUCAGGUGAGGGUGUACAAGUCAGGUAAAUAGGAGUAUCUGGAUCAUGAGAGGAAGUGAGCGGGUGUGUAUCUGAACUCUAUGAGUUUGUACAGGAAGGCAGGUGAGGGUGUACCUGGUAGAAGGGUGAAUGUGCAAGCCGGUUGAGCUGGCCUGCGGUCAGAGUUCUCUGGGUCUAGUGGGGAUACCUGUCUCAGUGAAAACAUUUAAGGUGAUGGUAUACAGGUCACCUGAGAGGGCAUACCUGCCACACAGACCUGUCCAAAGCAGGUGGGUGGAUCAGGUGAAGGUACCCAAUAAUGUGUGUCUGGUAUGUGAAGUUGUACAGAUCAUGUGAGGAGGCACCUGCCACAUAAACUUGUCCAAGGUAGGUGAGGGUGUCCAGGCCAUAUGAGACUAUCCAUCCAGGUAAAGAUGGUAUAUAGGUGAUCUCAGUGUGUACCUGCCACACAUAGGCCUCUCUAAGGUGAGGGUAGGGUGAGUUACUGGGCUAGGUGACUCUCUGGGACAUGAGAUAUGGGUCAAGUGAGUGUGUACCUGGCCCGCCCAGGUACAGGUGACGGUAAACAGGCCAAGUCUGGGUGUACCUGUGGACAGGAGAGUCCAGGCUAGGUGAUUAGAGUACACGUAGGUUCAGGGCUGUCUGGGGCAGAAGAGGAUGUGUCUGUUGGUGGAGGUGCCCAGCUGUCUAUGCCAAGCAUGAAUGCACGGGUCAGGUGAUGUAUCCCUGUAGAGAGCAUGUACCUAUGGACUAGGCUGCCUGGGCCAGGUGAGAGUGUACCUGUGGACAGGUGUGUCUGGGCCAGGUGAAGGUAUAUCUAAUUUCCAGGUUGAAGGUAGAGUGUACCUAAUGGAUGGGUGUGUCUAGGAUAGGCAAGGGUGGCCUCGUGGUUGGGGCUUCUAGACAAGGUGAAUGAAUGUGUGAUUGUUGAGAGAUGCAUCUGGCCAGGUGAGGGUGUAUCUGACAGGUGUGUCUGGGCUACAAGUGCAUGUUUGAUGGACAGCUGUGUCUGCUAUACUUGAGUGUAUACCUGUGGGCAGGUGUGUCUGUGCCGGGUAAUGAUGUACCUGUGAUGGAACAGAUUGAUCUAGGCUGGGGGAUAGAUACCUGUGGGCAGGUGUGCCUGGGCUAGGUGAGGAUAUACCUGUGAUGGAACAGAUGGAUCUAGGCUGGGGGAUAGAUACCUAUGGACAGGUGUGUCUGUGCCAGGUGAGGGUAUACCUGUGAUGGAACAGAUGGAUCUAGGCUGGGGGAUCUAUGCCUGUGGGCAGGUGCAUAUGGGCCAGGUGAGGGUGUACCUGUGAUGGAACAGAUGGAUCUAGGCUGGGGGAUAUCUGGCUGUGGGCAGGUGCAUCUGGGCCAGGUGAGGGUGCCAGGCUGUAGUCAGGGUCUUGCUGUGCCCACCCACUAGUGCCUCACCUUGAAGCGGCGGUCGUACUUGGUGACCGAAUCGGCGAAGUCCACCCGCUCCCUCUUGCCCAGGAACUGACGCAGCUCGGGCCGCUCCUCCAGCCCCAGGUAGUCCCCGACGAAGUUCCGAUUGAUGCUGUUGCGCCUCCGCUCCUUCUUGUUCAGCAGGAUGUUGGAAGCUGCGGGGACAGAGGGUGGAGGGCAGAGCUCCUGAUACAGCUCCUCCAGGUCCUUGUGCCCCCACCCCGCGCCGUUUACCCGAAGCCUCUCACCUUCCUCCCGCAUCUCCUCGUACUUCCGGACAGCCACGUGGCGCCGCCAGGCCUUCUGGAUGGUUCGGGCAAAGCCAUCGAACUUUCGCUCUCGCACCUCCUCCAGGAGGAAAAGCUGGGCGGGGGUCGUGGGGGGCAAGGGUGAGUCCUGGUGUCUCCCCAGGGGCUGCAGUUCCGGGUUUUCCCUGCGCUCACCCUACUCACACGCUUUUGCUCACCCAUCCCCACACAUGUGCUAAUUUUUUUAAGAGGCGGGGUCUUUCUAGUGACACUCGUUCAUAAAGAAAAGAAGAAAAAGGGGCCGGGCGCAGUGGCUCACGCCUGUAAUCCUAGCACUUCGGGAGGCCGAGGCGGGUGGAUCACCUGAGGUCAGGAGUUUGAGACGAGCCUGACCGACAUAGUGAAACCCCAUCUCUACUAAAAAUACAAAAAGAAAUUAGCUGGGCAUGGUGGUAGAUGCCUGUGAUCCCAGCUACUCGGGAGCCUGAGGCAGGAGAAUCACUUGAACCCGGGAGGCGGAGGUUGCAGUGAGCUGAGAUCGCGCCAUUGCACUCCAGCCUGGACAACAAGAGUGAAACUCCAUCUCAAAAAGACAAAAAACAAAAACAAAAAAAGCUGGUGGCUCAUGCCUAUAAUCCCAGCGCCUUGGGAGGCUGAGGCGGGAAGAUCGCCUGAGGUCGGGAGUUUGAGACCAGCCUGAUCAACAUGGAGAAACCCUGUCUUUACUAAAAACAUAAAAUUAGCCGGGCAUGGUGGCACAUGCCUGUAAUACCAGCUACUCAGGAGGCUGAGGCAGGAGAAUCACUUGAACCUGGGAGUUGGAGGUUGCGGUGAGCUGAGAUUGUGCCAUUGCACUCCAGCCUGGGCAACAAGAGCAAAACUUCAUCUCAAAAAAAGAAAAAAAGAAAAAGACAGGGUCUCGCUCCGUCGCCCAGACUGGAGUGUGGUGGUGCAGUCAUAGCUCACUGCAGCUUCAACCUCUUGGGUUCAAGUGAUCCUCCCACCUCUGCCUCCUGAGUAGCUGGGACUACAGCUGUGAGCCACCAUGCCCAGCUAAUUUUGUGGUGAUGUGGUCUUGCCAUGUUGCCCAGGCUGGAAAAAUUUUUAUCUUCCUCCAAAUGACUGGACCUCCCUGUGCGUCUCUCCCCAUGUGGGGUACACACUUCUGCCUUACAUGAUAACAGUGAGUCACUAGCUUCAGAUCACAGCUGUGCCACUUACUACCUGUGUGCUUUUGCAAGAAACGGUAUGAUGUCACGGUUUCUUACACUGUUACUCGACACUAUCCACGAGGUACACUGCCGUGUCAGAGAUGGUAGAAAUAGGAACCAGUGUGCAUCUUGGAAAACCAAUAAAAUACAGUAAAUAUGAAAAUGUGGCCGGGUGCAGUGGCUCAAGCCUGUAAUCCCAGCAUUUUGGGAGGCCGAGGUGGGCGGAUCACCUGAGGUCAAGAGUUUGAGACCAGCCUGGCCAACAUGGUGAAACCCCGUCUCUACUAAUAAUACAAAAGUUAGCCGGGUGUGGUGGCGCAUGCCUGUCAUCCCAGCUACUCGGGAGGCUGAGGCAGGAGAAUCGCUUGAACUCGGGAGGUGGUGGUUGCAGUGAGCGGAGAUUGCGCCACUGCACUCCAGCCUGGGCGACAGAGUGAGACUCAGUCCCCCGACCCCUGAAAAAAGAAAAGAAUGAAACUCCAUCUCAAAAAAAAAAAGAAAGAAAAAGAAAAUCUGAUGUGUAGAACUGUGAUGUGACUAGCAACCGUGUGGUUGGGCAGUGUACAACCUGCACAGCCAUCCGUAGCAGGCCCAGAAAGGAAGCUUUUGCAGAAAGCAGAGAAAAGGGUUUUGAGUUGUAAAAGUCUAGACCCAGAGGGGACUUAGAGAAUGAAUUACAUUACAGCAAGUCAAAGUACAAAGUCUAAGAGGAAUGUCUACUCAUUUGUAAUAACAGCAGGUGAACAAGGUGAGGAACCUACUGGAUAUUAAAAUACUGUAAAUCUAUAGUAAUAAAAACAAUAGCAUGCCUGUCAGAGAAUAGAAUGAUUAACUGGAAUAGGGCAGAUGCUUGAGAAACAU